GAUGCCAGGGUCAAAAGGUCAAAAAGCCGUUCAUGCUUGCAUGAUAAGGCUUUUGAACUUGGGACCCGCCAAACAUGAGGAAGCAGUGAUUUGCAUAGCAAAUCAACGGAUUCCUCAUGUUUGUAGUAUUGCGUGAGCAGAAUUGCGAAGCAAUGUGAAGGCAUC
rnacentral:sRNA from 1 species